rnacentral:lncRNA from 1 species
UAGGCUUCCCUUUCCUGAAAGCACUACUAGUACAUCUAAACCUUUUCAGUUGAUUCAUGUUGAUACUUGGGGACCUUAUCAUACCCCCACCUCUUUUGGUUCUAGAUAUUUUCUCACAAUUGUUGAUGACUUUUCUAGGGCAACCUGGACACAUUUGUUAGGGUCUAAAAGCAAUGCUUUUUGCAUGCUUCAAUCUUUUCUCUGUAUGGUCAAGACCCAAUUCAAUGCAAAUGUACAAACUGUUAGGAGUGAGAAUGCUUUAGAAUUGGGAUCUAGCAUUGCUGGUACAUCCUUUUUAACCAACAUGGCAUCAUACACCAAACCACUUGCCCACAUACUCCCCAACAGAAUGGUGUUGUUGAGAGGAAACAUAGAACUCUUCUUGAAACCUGUAGAGCUUUACUUUUCAUAGGUACAUUCUUUUUUAACCAACAUGGCAUCAUACACCAAAAUACUUGCCCACAUACUCCCCAACAGAAUGGUGUUGUUGAGAGAAAACAUAGAACUCUUCUUGAAACCUGUAGAGCUUUACUUUUCCAGUCUGGUUUACCCAUUUCUUUCUGGUGUAAUUGUCUAUUAACUGCUACCUAUCUUAUUAAUAGAAUACCCUCCAGGCUCCUUCAUGGUAAAUCCCCUUAUGAAAUCUUGCACAGUAAGGCACCCACUUACUCUCAUUUAAUUGCUUUUUGGCUGCCUUGCCUAUGCUGCUGUCCCCAUUCCUCAAAGGGACAAGUUAAAGCCUAGGGCUAUUUCUUGUGUUUUCCUAGGGUAUCCUUUUGCUAAAAAGGGUUAUAAACUAUAUGAUCUUAGUUCCAAAAAGUGUUUUGUGUCUAAGGAUGUUGUCUUUUAUGAAACUUCUUUUCCUUUCAAAUCUGCCUCUUCUGUCACCUCUGUUCCUCCUGCUUUCCCUUUUUUCAUGAAACUUCUUUUCCAUUCAAAUCUGCCUCUUCUGUCACCUCUGUUCCUCCUGCUUUCCCUUCCUUUUUUCAUUCUAUUCCUCCUCUUGAACAUUCCUCUUCUGACCAAGACUUCUCUGUUCCAAUAUCUUCCUCUCCACCUCCACCUCCUGUUCCAGAUUCUCCUUCUUCAAAUCCAAUUUCCAGUCCUCUUUUCAACCCUGACAUCUCCCCUCCUGCUUUACCUUCUUCCACAUCAACUGCUGUUCCCAGGAAAUCUGGCAGACAGCACAUUCCUCCUUCUUAUCUUAAGGAUUAUGUUUGUAGCCUUCCUGCUUUCUCUGGGUCUUCUCUUCUCCUUUGGAGACUGAACCCCUUUGCUACUCUCAAGCUGCAUCAGUUCCAGUAUGGCAGGAUGCCAUGAGAAAGGAGUUUGAUGCUAUGGAUGCUAACUGUACUUGGCACAUUGUUCCUCUUCCUUCUGGUAAGAAACCCAUUGGCUGCAAAUGGGUCUAUAAGAUCAAGUAUAAGGCUGAUGGUAGUGUUGAAAGACACAAAGCCAGACUUGUUAUUAGAGCAAAUGGGUUUAUAAGAUCAAGUAUAAGGCUGAUGGUAGUGUUGAAAGACACAAAGUCGGACUUGUUAUUAGAGGGGAUACUCAAAUUGAAGGGGUGGAUUUUACUGACACUUUUUCUCCUGUGGUCAAAAUGUCCACUGUGAAGUGUCUUAUUGCAGUGGCUGUUAAGAAGCAUUGGAAACUUUUUCAACUUGAUGUUAACAAUGCUUUCUUGCAUGGUGAUCUGGAUGAGGAGGUUUAUAUGAAGCUUCUCCCAGGUUUAUCUAUUUCUGUAUCUUCUUCUGACUCUGUUUCUCCUCCAUAUCCUCCUCUUGUAUGUAAAUUGAAAAAAUCACUAUAUGGGUUGAGGCAGGCAUCCAGACAAUGGUAUGCCAAGUUGUCCUCUGCCUUUUAUCCCAGAGGCUAUAGUCAUUCCAUGAAUGAUUAUUCUCUGUUUAUCAAAGGCCAGCCUGGAUGUUUGGUUAUUAUAGCAGUCUAUGUGGAUGACAUUAUCAUCACUGGGGAUGACAAUGAUGAGCUAUCUGCCCUGAAGCUGUUUUUGGAUGAUCAGUUCAGGAUCAAAGACC